UGGGGAAUCUUGGGCAAUGGGCGCAAGCCUGACCCAGCGACGCCGCGUGUGGGAAGAAGGCCUUCGGGUCGUAAACCACUGUCAGGAGGGAAGAAAAGCAGAUUCCGAACAGGGGUCUGUAUUGACGGUACCUCCAGAGGAAGCACCGGCCAACUCCGUGCCAGCAGCCGCGGUAAUACGGAGGGUGCAAGCGUUAUUCGGAAUCACUGGGCGUAAAGCGCGCGUAGGCGGCUGCGCAAGUCAGAUGUGAAAGCCCUCGGCUAAACCGGGGAAUUGCAUCUGAAACUGCGUAGCUAGAGUUCGGGAGAGGGCGGCGGAACUCCCGGUGUAGGGGUGAAAUCCGUAGAUAUCGGGAGGAACACCAGAGGCGAAGGCGGCCGCCUGGACCGAAACUGACGCUGAGGCGCGAAAGCGUGGGUAGCAAACA
rnacentral:rRNA from 1 species